CAGGGUCCCAGCACGUCGUACCAUCUAUCCGACACUUCUAGAGAUUCCAGCACGAACGGAGAUGACUCGGAAGCAGUCCUACCGCAGAACUCACAAGAUAAUUGUGCAAAGCAGGAGACCCCAUGUGCAGUCGGCUACAACAGUGCUGUGGCGCUCACCAUGCGGAAUCCUGACAUAACCCAAAUAUCCCCCGACUGUUUGGAGUUCGUCGAGGAAGAUGGUACCAAGUGGUACACAUUUGCUGGUGGCCGCGGUCGACGGAUGGUGCAGCUGCGAGAAGCCCAAGCAUCCCUGUCAUCGUCCUCCCGCGCCGCUAGCUUGCGUCGACACCCAUGGACAGGAGUCUAAUUCAAUAA